CAAUGAUCACCAGAAAAUCCACACAGG
rnacentral:piRNA from 1 species